rnacentral:rRNA from 1 species
UGGGGAAUUUUGGACAAUGGGCGAAAGCCUGAUCCAGCAAUGCCGCGUGUGUGAAGAAGGCCUUCGGGUUGUAAAGCACUUUUGUCCGGAAAGAAAUGGCUCUGGUUAAUACCUGGGGUCGAUGACGGUACCGGAAGAAUAAGGACCGGCUAACUACGUGCCAGCAGCCGCGGUAAUACGUAGGGUCCAAGCGUUAAUCGGAAUUACUGGGCGUAAAGCGUGCGCAGGCGGUUGUGCAAGACCGAUGUGAAAUCCCGAGCUAACUUGGGAAUUGGCAUUGGUGACUGCACGGCUAGAGUGUGUCAGAGGGGGUGAGAAUUCCACGUGUAGCAGUGAAAUGCGUAGAGAUGUGGAGGAAUACCGAUGGCGAAGGCAGCCCCUCGGAGUAAUACACUGACGCUCAUGCACGAAAGCGUGGGGAGCAAACAGGAUUAGAUACCCUGGUAGUCCACGCCCUAAACGAUGUCAACUAGUUGUUGGGAUUCAUUUCCUUAGUAACGUAGCUAACGCGUGAAGUUGACCGCCUGGGGAGUACGGUCGCAAGAUUAAAAGCUUAAAGGG